GAGAGCCUCUCGCGGCCCUCGGGCCGGCGCGCGUGCCGAAGCGCGCACACACAGGCGGGCUCGCGCUCCCGGCCGGCUCCAAGCACCUGAGUGAGAGGAUGCGAGACGGAGGAUGCGAGCGUCGGGCUGUGGACCACCGAGCCCAGGCUCGCCCACGCGGUGACUGCGCGCAUCCACCACGUCGAACAAUUGAAUCUCGGGGAUCGCGGCCCUCGGUCGCCCACCGCUUUGGGAGUUCCCUGCGUCCUAGAAGUCUGAGGAGUUACUCCACACCGCAGAAACCGGACGGCCUGCGCGGGGGGAAUCACGAAGAGAGACACAGCAAGAGGGGAAACACAAGCAGGAGGAGUGGGAGAGAGAGAGAAGCAGGCUUCCCACUGAGCAGGAAGCCUGAUGCAGGGCUCCAUCCCAGGACUCUGGGAUCAUGACCUGAGCCGAAGGCAGACACUUAACAAACAUCACAAGGAGGCAGAGAAGCAAGCAGAGAGGGGAGGAAGCAGGCUCCCCACUGAGCAGAGAGCCCAACGCGGGGCUCUCUCCAAAGACGCUGGGAUCGUGACCUGAGCUGAAGACAGAGGCUUUAACCCACUGAGCCAUCCAGGCGCCCCUAAAUGAAUAAAAUCUUAAAAAAAAAAAAAAAAGUUUUGGGUUUUAUACACUUCAAGCUUUAAUCUAUCUGAAAUUUGCCUUUGUGUUGUCUGCAAAGUUGAGAUCUUAAUUUUAUUUUUUUAUGUAGAAAGUGAAUUGUUCCAACAUUAUUUAUUGCUCAUUCUUAUUUGCCAGAGAGAGAAACAAGAGAGGAACACAAGCAGGGGGAGUGGGAGAGGGAGUAUCAGGCCUCCCACUGAACAGAAGGCCUGGUGAAGGACUUGAUCCCAGAACUAUAGAUCAUGACCUGAGGUUUAAGGACUAAGAGGCUUAAGGACUAAGCCACCCAGGUACCCCAUGUACCUCUAUUUAAAAAAAAAAAAAAAAAAAGUCCUUAUGUUCUUCAUAGUAUUUUACAAUUUUCUCUUAAAGAACAUAUACAUUGGGGCACCUGGGUAGUUCAGUGGGUUAGGGCCUCUGCCUUUGGCUGAGAUCAUGAUCCCAGGGUCCUUGGAUCGAGCCCCACAUCGGGAUCUCUACUCAGCCCCCACCCCCUCUGCCUGCCUCUCUGCCUACUUGUGAUCUCU